GGGGCUGUAGCUCAGUGGCAGAGUGCUUGCCUAGCACAUGCAAAGUACUGGGUUCUAUCCUCAGCAGCAUCA
rnacentral:tRNA from 1 species